rnacentral:rRNA from 1 species
AGGACGAACGCUGGCGGCGUGCCUAACACAUGCAAGUCGAACGAGGUCCAACCGGUGGCAACACUGGUGAAGACCGAGUGGCGAACGGGUGAGUAACACGUGAGCAACCUGCCUCGAAGACUGGGAUAACCCCGGGAAACCGGAGCUAAUACCGGAUACCCCCACCGGGUCGCAUGGCCUGGUGAGGAAAUGGAUUCCGCUUUGAGAGGGGCUCGCGGCCUAUCAGCUUGAUGGUGGGGUAAUGGCCUACCAUGGCACCGACGGGUAGCUGGUCUGAGAGGACGAUCAGCCACACUGGGACUGAGACACGGCCCAGACUCCUACGGGAGGCAGCAGUGGGGAAUCUUGCGCAAUGGGCGAAAGCCUGACGCAGCAACGCCGCGUGUGGGACGAAGGCCUUCUGGGUUGUAAACCACUUUCAGCAGGGACGAUUGUGACGGUACCUGCAGAGAGCCCGCAACUACGCGCAGCAGCCGCGGU